CCUACGGGUGGCUGCAGUAGGGAAUCUUCCGCAAUGGACGAAAGUCUGACGGAGCAACGCCGCGUGAGCGAAGAAGGUCUUCGGAUCGUAAAGCUCUGUUGUUAGGGAAGAACAAGUACGGGAGGAAAUGACCGUACCUUGACGGUACCUGACGAGGAAGCCACGGCUAACUACGUGCCAGCAGCCGAGGUAAGCCGUAGGUUGCAAGCGUUGUCCGGAAUUAUUGUGCGUAACGGGGGCGCAGGCGGCCUGUUAAGGCUGAGGUGACGUCUUGCGGCUAAAACGCAAGCGGUCAUUGGAAACUGGGAGCCUUGAGUGCAGAAGAGGAAAGGGGAAUUCAACGUGUAGCGGUGAAAUGAGUAGAGAUGUGGAGGAACAGCAGUGGCGAAGGCGGCUUUCGGGGCUGUAACUGACGGUGGGGCGCGAAAGCGUGGGGAGCAAACAGGAUUAGAUACCCGUGUAGUC
rnacentral:rRNA from 1 species